rnacentral:lncRNA from 1 species
UUUUAUAUGUAAUUUAAAAUGCCAUGUAAGCAGGAAGGUACUCAUUUAGGAGAAAUUACAAAACUACUUCCUUUUCUUUUAAAUGAUUAAAAAAAUGCACAGCUACAAUAAUUUAGGUAAUAAUAAUAAUAAUGAGAACGCAGCAGGCUUAGUUUGAAACCAGACCUUGCAAUCCUUGACUGCACUUGUCACAAACAUGUUUUCCUCUAAUGAUCCUCAAGCAUUUCCCACUACCUCUUUCUUUUUGAGCACAGACACUGAAUUAAUUACCCAGAAACCUCACUUUUUUAUUUUUGAGUACUCCUUUAUCUUCCCAUGAGAAGAGAAAGCUACUGAGAUUGCCCAGGAUGUGUUUCCCAGGUAUAAUUUCCAUUUUAAGGGAAAGUUAAGACAGGCCUUUUAAGAGGUUUGAUGCAAAAGCCUCUGGAAUCCCUUGUUUUUGGAGUCUGUCUGGAAGUUUGAAUUGGCAUUGGGUUGGAAUCCUCUAAAUAUGAUCCUAUGUAAGCUGAGUAAUGAGGAAGAUGACUUUGCUAUGCUUAGCUGUGGUUCAGUGAUUCUCCCCUGAGAAUCAACUGCUAUAAAAAUCACUGGUUAUUAUGUAAAACAUUGUGACCGAAGCAGUGACAAGGGUUUAUAGAGAAAACUUAGGUAGACUUGCUCAAUGAAAUUAAGAAAAAUAAAAAAGGAACAACAACUUUUCAUCUGGUUCAUCUAAAUGAUAGAUGCUCAUUACAGAACAUUUGGGAAAUAUGUGGCUGGGCAGCAUGGCUCAUGCCUGAAAUACUCACUUGCCCACUGCUCACCUCCUGCUGUGCGGCCCAGUUCCUAACAGGCCACGGGUGGGUACUGGUCUGCAGCCCCAGGACUGGGGACCCCUGACCUAGAGGUUGCCUCUAUAAACAUUGGCAUGUGUGUAUACAACAAGUUGAAUCCAAAUUCGUUUUGUAACCUGCUUUUUUCACUUAACAGUAUAUUGUGAGCAUGUUCCCAUGUCAUUAAAGAUUUUUUGAUUUGCAGUGAGCUGAUAUUGUCUGCUUCCUAGGACUGAGCCACCAGGAUCAAAGAAAGGAAAUCAUUGCCUUCAAGAAGAACAUGGUUGACUCGUGCCCAUACUUGUCUCUCUUUCAUUGAGCCCAUGACUAUUUUUCCUGAUAAGUCAUGCCAACUGGUAUCAAGUCUCAUCUGGAUGACAUAUUUUGUUGUUGUCACUGUUGUUUUUUAUCUAUGGGCCCAAUUGCAAUUUAUAAAUAAGUACUCAUUUUCACACAGAUA